CUCCACCUUUUUAACUUUGUCAUGAAUUGUCAGUGCCGAGUUCCUGGUAGUUGGUAAAAAGAAUUGCCUUCUCCCUGAUAUCCUGUUCUGUGGGAAGCCUUUGUGGUUUAGAGUCACAGCUUCUCAUUGUUGCUAGCUACAGUUGUCUCCUCCCUCCUGCCCUUCCCUCCCGACCGACCGCUCUAGCUAUUCCCUUGUCCCUCCCCAUUCUUGUAUCACUUGCCCCACAGUUACCCUCGUGAUUAGAGGUCUUUUGCUGGAGGUUGACUGUGCUGUCUGCUCUCUGACACAGUUGGCUAUUCUAGUCCCAGAAGAAAGAAGAGAGACUUGCUGAAGAUCCGGAUGGGACAAUAGAAGUUUAGGGGCGCAUUAAAAAGAAGCAGCAAGAGCAUCAACAAAAACGUCAGAUGAUUCAAGCAGGCUUCUUGGCCUUGUGGAACUUUUUGCAGUUGCUCAGAAUUUGUUUUUGGUUCAGAGGAUGAUGGGACAAGGCAAUAGAGAACAAGGAGGGUUAUGUGGGAUUCUUGUUUAUCUGUUUGCCUCUCCUUCCAGUUGGAAAAUCUUCAGUCCAUAAGAAGCAUUAUCAACAAGGCUGAAAGAUACAUCUUACCCUGAUCCUGGAUGCCGUUGGAGUUGAGGAUUACAUCCACUUUACCAGGACUUUAUGGAGGCCAUUCAAGAAAAAUAGAAGGAAGCAAUACUUAAGGCUUUUUCUGUUAACAUUAGUCCUAUGCCAUGUUACAUUUUGGACAUUGUUUGAAACAAGUGAGGGAGGGCUCUGUCAUCUGGAUCUAGGAGGAUACCUGAGUCCCUUGAACUACACAGGUGAUAUUUGGAAGGUGGUAAACUCAAAAUCUUCCAACAUAAAUUCACUGAAUUCUGGAUUCCCUUCCUUUUUAGAACUUUAGCAGACAGAAAUUACCUGCCAAAAAAGGCACAAAAGCUUCUCCCUUUUUUUCAGGCUAAAUGUGAACAAUAAUGUCUUGGAAGAGAAAUUAUUUUUCAGGGGGUCGGGGUAGUGUACAAGGGAUGUUUGCUCCUCGAAGCUCAACCUCCAUAGCCCCCAGCAAAGGCCUCAGCAAUGAGCCAGGGCAAAACAGCUGCUUCCUCAACAGUGCCCUGCAGGUUUUGUGGCACUUGGAUAUCUUCCGACGUAGCUUUAGGCAGCUUACAACUCACAAGUGCAUGGGAGAUUCCUGCAUCUUUUGUGCUCUCAAG